GAUGAACGCUGGCGGCGUGCUUAACACAUGCAAGUCGAACGGAAAGGCCCUGCUUGCAGGGUACUCGCGUGGCGAACGGGCGAGUAACACGCGGGUGAUCUGCCCUGCACUUCGGGAUAAGUCUGGGAAACUGGGUCUAAUACCGGACAGGAGCUAUAUUUAGUGUGAUGGUUGGAAAGUUAUUUGGGUGUAGGCUGAGCUGGAGGCCUAUCGGCUUGUUGGUGGGGUGAUGGCCUACCGAGGCGGCGGCGGGUAGCCGGACUGAGUGGGUGGACGGCCACACAGGGACUGAGGGGCGGCACAGACACCUACUGGAGGGAGAUGUGGGGAAUACUGAAGAAUGAGCGCAAGCCGGGUGCAGCAGGUCCUCGUGGGGGAUGACGGCCUUCGGGUUGAAAACCCAUUUCGCAAGUGACGAAGCUUUUUGUGACGGUACCUAGAUAGGAAGCACCGGCUAACUACGUG
rnacentral:rRNA from 1 species